AGAGCCGCGCACCAAGCCGAUGGCGGUGGACGCAGCAGGGCCCCGCGGUCUGAGUGCGGGCAGGCGCGCGUGGGCGUGUCUCCCUGGCCCACGCGUGUCCCCGGCAUCAGUGUCUCGGCUCUGGUCCAGGACGAAGACUUCUGAAAGCGAGCCAAGGAGAAUCACAGUUCUUAACGGAGCCCCUGACUGCCCGGUGGAAGGAGGUGAUUUAGAAGACAGUGAGUUGAUCUGGGGCAAAGUGAAGCAUCAGUAGCGCCUUCCAUCCCUUCACCUCACCUGGAUCUCUUCACUUCACUCCACGUCUGUCGUCUCCCAUGCAUGAAGCAACAUGGCCAAGUGAAGCUGCAACCAGUAAAGUGUAAGGAUGUUUCUUGGCUUCAAACCAUUUGGAUAAGUGAUGGCAGCAAGCUUCGCCACUGUAAAGUCACCUCUUUGUAAGAAGACAGGAGCUCUUUGUAAAGAAUAUGAGACCUGAGGCUGGGGGAUGGCUGAGAAGGGAAAAGCACCUCUGCACAAGCGUGAGAAAAGGAGUUUGUUCUUCCACAUCCAUGUAGAAAUCUUGAUGCCGUGCCGUGAACCCCAGCUCUCCUACGGGAAGAUGGGAGGCGUAGACAGGAGUUCAUCUGGAAGCUUGAGGCCAGCCACCCAGAUCCUCAGAGCUGCAGACAAAAGAGAGGCCCUGCAGCAAAAGAGUGGAAGGUGAGAACCAACUCCGGAAAGUUGCCCUCUGACCUUUACAAGUGUAUACAUCCACACACAUACAAUAAAAUCAAUUGCUCAAUCACG
rnacentral:lncRNA from 1 species